GUGAGGAAUAUUGGACAAUGGGCGCAAGCCUGAUCCAGCCAUGCCGCGUGCAGGAAGACGCAUCUAUGGUGUGUAAACUGCUUUUGUACGGGAAGAAACACUCCCUCGUGAGGGAGCUUGACGGUACCGUAAGAAUAAGGAUCGGCUAACUCCGUGCCAGCAGCCGCGGUAAUACGGAGGAUCCAAGCGUUAUCCGGAAUCAUUGGGUUUAAAGGGUCCGUAGGCGGUUUAAUAAGUCAGUGGUGAAAGCCCAUCGCUCAACGAUGGAACGGCCAUUGAUACUGUUAGACUUGAAUUACAAGGAAGUAACUAGAAUAUGUAGUGUAGCGGUGAAAUGCUUAGAUAUUACAUGGAAUACCAAUUGCGAAGGCAGGUUACUACUUGUGGAUUGACGCUGAUGGACGAAAGCGCGGGGAGCGAACAGGAUUAGAAACCCGGGUAGUCC
rnacentral:rRNA from 1 species